rnacentral:rRNA from 1 species
AACUGAGACACGGUCCAGACUCCUACGGGAGGCAGCAGUAGGGAAUAUUGCUCAAUGGGGGAAACCCUGAAGCAGCAACGCCGCGUGGAGGAUGAAGGUUUUAGGAUUGUAAACUCCUUUUGUUAGAGAAGAUAAUGACGUUAUCUAACGAAUAAGCACCGGCUAACUCCGUGCCAGCAGCCGCGGUAAUACGGAGGGUGCAAGCGUUACUCGGAAUCACUGGGCGUAAAGAGCGCGUAGGCGGGAUAGUCAGUCAGGUGUGAAAUCCUAUGGCUUAACCAUAGAACUGCAUUUGAAACUACUAUUCUAGAGUGUGGGAGAGGUAGGUGGAAUUCUUGGUGUAGGGGUAAAAUCCGUAGAGAUCAAGAGGAAUACUCAUGUGCGAAGGCGACCUGCUGGAACAUUACUGACGCUGAUUGCGCGAAAGCGUGGGGAGCAAUACAGGAUUAGAUACCCUGGUAGUCCACGCCCCUAAACGAUGGAUGCUAUGUUGUUGGAGGGCUUAGUCUCUCCAGAUAUAUGCAGCUAACGCAUUAAGCAUCCCGCCUGGGGAGUACGGUCGCAAGAUUAAAACUCACAAGGAAUAGACGUGGGUACCCGCACAAUGCGGUGGAGCAUGUGGUAUAAUUCGAAGAUACACGAAGAACCUUACCUAGGCUUGACAUUGAGAGAAUCCGCUAGAAAUAGUGGAGUGUCUAGCUUGCUAGACCUUGAAAACAGGUGCUGCACGGCUGUCGUCAGCUCGUGUCGUGAGAU